rnacentral:misc_RNA from 1 species
GAUGAAGAACGCAGCGAAAUGCGAUACGUAAUGUGAAUUGCAGAUUUUAGUGAAUCAUCGAAUCUUUGAACGCACAUUGCGCCCGCCAGUAUUCUGGCGGGCAUGCCUGUUCGAGCGUCAUUUCAACCAUCAAGCCUUCGCUUGUGUUGGGGCCCCGCGGCUGCCGCGGCCCCCUAAAUCCAGUGGCGGGCUCGUCGUCGUACCGAGCGCAGUAGACAUCCUCGCUCCGGGAACCCGACGGGUGCCGGCCGUGAAGCCCCCCCCAUCAAGGUUGACCUCGGAUCAGGUAGGAAUACCCGCUGAACUUAAGCAUAUCAAUAAGCGGAGGA